UUAAAAAACAAAAAACUGCUGGUGGGCUGGGUGUGGUGGCUCACUCCUGUAGUCCCAGCACUCUGGGAGGAUUGCAUGAGCCCAGGAGUUUGAGGCUGCAGGGAGCUAUGAUGGUGCCACUGCACUCCAGCUUGGGCAUCAGAGUGAGACCUUAUCUCAAAAAUAAAUAAAUAAAGGGAAGGGAAGGAAAGGAAGAAGAAAAUAAAGAAAAACUGCUGGUGGAUGAACAACAGCCUCAUUCAGUUGACUUCUUUUUCCUUCACCAAGACUGACUGGAGCUCUCCCGUGUCAGCUCGUAGCACAGAAGGUGAAGAGCCUGCUGUGGGGCCAGGGCUUCCCAGAUUACGUGGCCCCUUUUGGAAAUUCCCAGGCCCAGGACAUGCUGGACUGGGUGCCCAUCCACUUCAUCACCCAGUCAUUCAACAGGAAGGAUUCCUGCCAGCUCCCAGGGGCUUUGGUUAUAGAAGUGAAGUGGACUAAAUACGGAUCCCUGCUGAAUCCACAGGCCAAAAUAGUCAAUGUAACUGCAAAUCUAAUUUCAUCCUCCUUUCCUGAGAAUGCUCAGAUGCAUCAGUUCCUUAAUAUACACGUGAAAUUUGAAAACUUACAUUCGGUGAGAUUAAAUUUUAUAUACAACUA
rnacentral:sRNA from 1 species